rnacentral:lncRNA from 1 species
CCAGCUGCAGCUGCUCUCUCCGGCUCAACAAAUGUGUCUGAUCUGAUGCGCUUUUUGGUCACAAAAUAGGAAUUAUACGUGCUUAAUGUUCAGGCGUAUUAUGUGUGUGCUAUCUUAAAGAAACAUGAAGUUUCUAAUAUUUUUGCAUAUCCCUAGAAACUGAUUACCGGUGUGCAGAAGUAUACGGGGCUGUACCUUCAAAGUAUGCCUAAUUCACUACAUGCUUUUGUAAGAACCGUAAAAUCUCUUAGCAGUAAAUCACCGAUGUGCUGCU